AACUUUCAACAACGGAUCUCUUGGCUCUGGCAUCGAUGAAGAACGCAGCGAAAUGCGAUACGUAAUGUGAAUUGCAGAAUUCAGUGAAUCAUCGAAUCUUUGAACGCACAUUGCGCCCGCUAGUAUUCUGGCGGGCAUGCCUGUUCGAGCGUCAU
rnacentral:rRNA from 1 species